rnacentral:misc_RNA from 1 species
GAAAUGCGAUAAUUAAUGUGAAUUGCAGAAUUCAGUGAAUCAUCGAGUCUUUGAACGCACAUUGCGCCCCCUGGUAUUCCGGGGGGCAUGCCUGUCCGAGCGUCAUUGCUGCCCUCGAGCACGGCUUGUGUGUUGGGCUUCCGUCCCUGGCAACGGGGACGGGCCCAAAAGGCAGUGGCGGCACCAUGUCUGGUCCUCGAGCGUAUGGGGCUUUGUCACCCGCUCCCGUAGGUCCAGCUGGCAGCUAGCCUCGCAACCAAUCUUUUUAACCAGGUUGACCUCGGAUCAGGUAGGGAUACCCGCUGAACUUAAGC